GACGAACGCUGGCGGCGUGCUUAACACAUGCAAGUCGAACGGAAAGGCCCUGCUUUUGUGGGGUGCUCGAGUGGCGAACGGGUGAGUAACACGUGAGUAACCUGCCCUUGACUUUGGGAUAACUUCAGGAAACUGGGGCUAAUACCGGAUAGGAGCUCCUGCUGCAUGGUGGGGGUUGGAAAGUUUCGGCGGUUGGGGAUGGACUCGCGGCUUAUCAGCUUGUUGGUGGGGUAGUGGCUUACCAAGGCUUUGACGGGUAGGCGGCCUGAGAGGGUAGACGGCCACAUUGGUACUGAGGUACGGCCCAGACGCCUACGGGAGGCAAAAGUCGGGAAUAUGGCAGAAUGGGCGGAAGCCAGAUACGAAGACGCCGCGAUCGGGAAGACGGCCUACGGGGUGUGAACCGCUUUCGCCGUAGACGAAGCGUGAGUGACGGUAAUGAAUAAGAAAGCCCCGGCUAACUACGUG
rnacentral:rRNA from 1 species